GACGAACGCUGGCGGCGUGCUUAACACAUGCAAGUCGAACGGAAAGGCCCUGCUUUUGUGGGGUGCUCGAGUGGCGAACGGGUGAGUAACACGUGAGUAACCUGCCCUUGACUUUGGGAUAACUUCAGGAAACUGGGGCUAAUACCGGAUAGGAGCUCCUGCUGCAUGGUGGGGGUUGGAAAGUUUCGGCGGUUGGGGAUGGACUCGCGGCUUAUCAGCUUGUUGGUGGGGUAGUGGCUUACCAAGGCUUUGACGGGUAGCCGGCCUGGGAGGGUGACCGGCCACCUUGGGACUGCGGUACGGCCCAGUAUGCAACCGGAGGCAACAGUGGGGAAUAUUGCACAAUGGGCGGAAGCCUGAUGCAGCAACGCCGCGUGCGGGAUGACGGCCUUCGGGUUGUAAACCGCUUUCGCCUGUGACGAAGCGUGAGUGACGGUAAUGGGUAAAGAAGCACCGGCUAACUACGUG
rnacentral:rRNA from 1 species